CAGCAGUGAGGAAUGCGGAGUGUGGAACAAGAGGCAUGAAGUCUUCAAGAUUCCAGGCCCCAGUUCAAUGGGACUCAGGGUUGCAGUAUAUAAAUGACUACGUAAGAGUCUAACUCAAAGCAAGCCCAACUGUCCUUAACGUACCCCACUGCAGAUGUCCUCGUGUGUCCACUGAGGCCAGUGGAGCGCUUCCGUGACUUACGUCCUGAUGAAGUGGCCGAUUUGUUUCAAGUGACACAGAGAGUUGGGACAGUGGUGGAGAAGCAUUUCCAGGGGACCUCCAUCACCUUCUCCAUGCAAGAUGGUCCUGAAGCUGGACAGACUGUGAAG
rnacentral:lncRNA from 1 species